rnacentral:rRNA from 1 species
UAGGGAAUAUUGGGCAAUGGAGGGAACUCUGACCCAGCCAUGCCGCGUGCAGGAUGAAGGCGUUAUGCGUUGUAAACUGCUUUUUAUAUAGGAAGAGAUAGUCCUUGCGAGGAAAGUUGACGGUACUAUAUGAAUAAGCACCGGCUAACUCCGUGCCAGCAGCCGCGGUAAUACGGAGGGUGCAAGCGUUGUCCGGAUUUAUUGGGUUUAAAGGGUGCGUAGGCGGUUUAUUAAGUCAGUGGUGAAAGACGGUCGCUCAACGAUUGCAGUGCCAUUGAUACUGGUAGACUUGAGUAUGAUUGAGGUAGCUGGAAUGGAUAGUGUAGCGGUGAAAUGCAUAGAUAUUAUCCAGAACACCAAUUGCGUAGGCAAGUUACUAAGUCAUAACUGACGCUGAGGCACGAAAGUGUGGGUAU